CCAGUUGUGAUAUGAGACAUACCAAUGCAGAAGAAAAGAUGGUUCUUGUUUCCAAAAGACUUAGUCUGCGGCUCCUACUCCUAAAUUCAUCCGCAAAGGCUGGCCCUGGCCUUAGAGCCCUGAUCGGCAGGGGGAUGAGCAAAGAAGAGUACCUGGCAUCUCCCCCCGACUCCGAAGCCUCCUGGCUGGCUACAGAGUGGGUAGGUGUUCGCACACCGACCUCCUGCUUCCAGCUCACCUGCAAGGGGAUGUCGUCUCUGCCUUUUGAGGAGGGCCAGCAUGAGCUGCUGGAGAAGGUGCAAGCUGCUGCUGCAGGCUGAGAGUCCAAGCCCUGGGAUAGGGAACAGACCCAUGGACUGGCAUGCCUGUGCCCACUGAGAGUCUGCACCACAGAGCUGUCAUUUGGCGUCAUCGAGCAGGUUUCCACUUGUGUGCUGAUGUGAUGCAAAUGUAUUCUAGGACAGAUGCCAGCAAGCCGCAGGCUUUAUCUCUGUUGCCAUGAUUUUCUUGGACAUCAGCACCAGGAUGUCAGUUCUGGACAGGUAACCGGAGUGUCAUGCUAAAUGCAAGGUGGGGCUAUGGGAUAGCAACAGUCGAAGCAAUCACCUAAAAUGAAGAGAGGAGAAGUACAGUCCAAACUGGUGUAAUGAGCCAUAAAACCAGGGUGUCUGCUGCGACCACCAGCCCUAAUGCUUUGCAAAGGUAUCAACGGAAUCUCCCAGGCUCAUGUCUUUGAAGGUUGUGAAUGUGCUGAGAAGCUGUUGUCCUUUGAGGAUGAGGACUGAUGCAUCAGACACACAGCAAUCGCUUG